CCUACGGGAGACUGCAGUGAGGAAUAUUGGUCAAUGGGCGGGAGCCUGAACCAGCCAAGCCGCGUGAGGGAAGAAGGUACAGCGUAUCGUAAACCUCUUUUGCCAGGGAACAAAGGCGGGGACUAGUCCCCGGAUGAGGGUACCUGAAGAAAAAGCAUCGGCUAACUCCGUGCCAGCAGCCGCGGUAAUACGGAGGAUGCGAGCGUUAUCCGGAUUUAUGGGGUUUAAAGGGUGCGCAGGCGGCCUGUUAAGUCAGCGGUAAAAGCCCGGGGCUCAACCCCGGCGAGCCGUUGAAACUGGCGGGCUGGAGUUGGAGAGAAGUACGCGGAAUGCGUGGUGUAGCGGUGAAAUGCUUAGAUAUCGCGCAGAACCCCGAUUGCGAAGGCAGCGUACCGGCUCCACACUGACGCUGAGGCACGAAAGCGUGGGUAUCGAACAGGAUUAGAUACCCCUGUAGUC
rnacentral:rRNA from 1 species